UACGGGGGGGGUAAGCGUUGUUCGGAAUUACUGGGCGUAAAGGGCUCGUAGGCGGCCAACUAAGUCAUACGUGAAAUCCCUCAGCUUAACUGGGGAACUGCGUGUGAUACUGGAUGGCUUGGAUUUGGGAGAGGGAUGCGGAAUUCCAGGUGUAGCGGUGAAAUGCGUAGAUAUCUGGAGGAAUACCGGUGGCGAAGGCGGCAUCCUGGACCGAGAUUGACACUGAUGAGCGAAAGCUAGGGGAGCAAACGGG
rnacentral:rRNA from 1 species